rnacentral:lncRNA from 1 species
CAUCUGUUUUUAUGAGUUUGACGUAAGAGACGAACAAAAGGUUUUCGAUUCGUGAGUUUUCGCCUACACGAAAGUUAUGUUGGUUCUUUGUGUGUGUCAAGUUUUUUUUUUUUUUUUGUGUUUUCCACUUGACCAUUUUGUUAGGAUUUGGCGCAAUCGAAUGUAUAUUAAUAAGUUUUGAAUGCAUAUUAUAAUAUUCAUUUGAAAAUAAUAAUUUUAUUAAAACAUAUAUAUAUAUAUCAUUAUUAUAUGCACUAUUUCGUAAAAAAAAAUCAGCAUAUAAAUAAAACUAAAUAUAAAAGAUGAGAAGAAGAGGAAAAAGAGAGAAAACAUUAUUUAUUGAAAAAUCAGAGGUUCAUUUAACUCCGGUAUUCAAUGUUUAAUUACAUUAAUUAUGUACAUUUUUUUAUUAAAAUUUAUAUUAAAAUAUCUAUUUACUAAUACAUUAUUGAAAUCGAGACGAAAAUAUUUAUUACCUGAUUUAAUUUUUUUUAAAUUAUUC